rnacentral:lncRNA from 1 species
CCCAGAGAGCACUCCCACACAGCCACCCACUUCCCACCAUCCCCUGUCAGCAGGCAAAGAGCUCCAGAUUCUUCCUCUGGGACACUACAACUAACCAAGGGUCUAUCAAUUCCUAUCCACCCCCAAGCCCUCACCAGGGAUGGGAAGAAAAGGAAGCCAAAAGGGAGAAGCCAGCGACGGAAGAGGCAAAUUAGGAGUGUCCCCACACUGAAGGGAAAAGAAGUUCAGGAAGAAGGGCAUGGGGAGCAGCAGUUGCCGCUGCUGAGAGGUGAAGAGGAUGCCUGCGAAGAGGGUGAUGAGCUGAGGAACUUCCAGAAAUCAUCCUCAGGGGAUGGCAGGGGCCUGGGAGCAAGCUGGAGGCAGACACAGCCUCCUCUUGUGAGACUAUGUGAGAGGCAGGGUCUGAGGCAGUCUCUUAUGAUGCAGGAGAAAGGCAUGGAGACGGCUCAGCCCAUGUCAGGACUGUCAAUCCUCCCUGUUGGCAAACACAUGGAACCUGGGGGUAGCUGCCUUCCCUCCUGAUAGCCCUCCCUACACUGCACUCUCCUGGCCCUGCCUCUGAUUACAGAACACACCUGGGCACUGGCUGAGGGUCCCUGUUCCUGCAGAUAUUCUUGUGAUGGCCUCUGCCCUCAUGGGUAAGCAAGCACAGGUGAAUUACCUCUGGCCACCUCAGCCCUUGCAAAGGGCUGACCAGAGCAUGACAGCCAGGGAUACCCCUCCAAGAGCUGUCUUGUGAGCACAGAGGAUUGUGGGUGUUUUAAAUGUCUUCAUGACAUUAAUUAAUCCAGCAAAUAUUUAUUCACCACCUCUUGUGUGCCAGGCACUACUCUAGGUGCUAUUGAUACAGCAGUGAGUUUUAAAAAAAAAAGUCUAUGCCUUCAAGGAUCCUACAUUCUUGUGGGAAAGACAGGUAAUAAACAAGUAGACAUAAAAAUGGCAGGUGCUGAGAAGUGCUCUGAAGAAAAAUACAACAAGGUGAGGGGGACAGGGAGUGCAGGAUGCGAGUGAUUUUUUUCUGUUUCCCAUAUCAGGAUGGCCUCUCUGAAGAGUUGACAAGUGAGCAGAGGCUUAAAUAAGUGAAAGAGUGAAGAAUGGUCCAGGCAGUGGGAAAAACCAAGCAGAAGCAGGAGGUAGGAGGGUGUUUGGCAUAGUUCAAGGAACAGCAAGGAGGCUCAGUGUACCUGGAGUGAAUAGGCUGAAAGAGAGGGAUAGGAACUAACCCAGAGAGGGUUAGGCUUUGAGUCACAAUGAGGACUCUGAUGUUACUCUGAGCAGGGGGUUUGAACACAGAAGUGACACAUCUGAUUUUCACGUAAAAGACUGACCAUGGCAACUGUGGGGAGAAGAAACUGCCAGAUGACCCCUCUGUUCUUAGAAUUAUGUUGCUCUUCUAAAAAUAGAGCUAGAAAGUCAAAUCCCACAAGUGUAGGUUGGUGCUCAAGUGGCUGAGUACAAGAAUAAUAGAAGAAAAGCUGAGAGUCGGAGUCGGCCACAACCUAAACAUGAAUUAGGAGUGUCAUGCCACGGGGAAAAUCAAAAGCUAGACAAUCCUGGGAUGUGUUGGUAUAGCCAUCGGACACGCAAAGACUGGGACACUGACUUCGUGCAUGUUUGGCAUAAACGGGCUUCCUGCCAUGCCUUCUGUUUGCAAUGUUUCCCACUUGUCCUGCAGCCCAGGCUGUACACAGGCCUGUCUCCCUCCACAAGCGCUUCUUCCCAGUGUUUUUCCUUCCCUUCUGUCUGUGUCUUUUGUGCUGUCAUUCAGUCAGCAACCACCAUGUAUAAAACUUAAUGAGCAGUGCCAUGGGAGAGUCUCUGGUAAGUGCUUGGAGCUCAAAUCCUUUGUUAAUUGUAUCUAGAGAGCUAUGUCUGCUAUUGGCACAAAUCUCUCUUUUUAGUCCCUUCAAGUUUAUUCUCUAACUGUGGACUUUUCUCCACCUCUUACAAUUGUACUCUUGGUGGAUUUUCCUAUUUAUGAAGCUCUAUGGAAGAUAUGCCCUGCCAGAGAAAAGAUCUUCUCUACUGUCAAGAAUCACUGGUUUCAGUUGGGUCAGGACUGACAACCUAGCUUCUGUGUAUAGACAAGUGAAGACAAAAAGGGCUAGGGUUGGCAGAAUUGUGCAGGGAGUCAAUGUGUCAUCUUUAACGCCUCUACAUUCACCUCUAAGCAGGGCCCUUUUUUUCUGACAAGCUAGGGCCCUAUGUGAAUCAAUGCAAGGCUUAAGCUUGAAGUACCUAUAGCCAAUCCCUGUCCCCUUUCCUGAUAGGUAAUGGCAUCCAGAAAGAAUGAAACCUUGAAGCAGGAGACAUUGGGUGGCUGAGUCAGGGUGUGGGACUUGAGCCAGUUUCCACUCUGCAAAGAUCAGGGAACAAGCACCCUCUCCCUCUUCCCCAGCCUGGAGAUGCUAGCCAUGAGAACUCAGAGGGGUCUCUGGCCUGGCACUCAACCUCCUGCUCCAGAGCCCCAGGGAGAGUAUUGGGGACUGGAAGAACCAAGCCAAAGGCUCUGAGAAGCCACAGUGGCUGGGGAUUGAGGUUCUGAGCCCAAAAACUUUGCCAGAGAGCCAUAUAGUAACUCCAUAACCCCCAACUCCCUGGAGCUAGAGGAAAGUAAUGAAGGGAGGCUAGGUCCAAGAACUGCUAGACCAGUCCUGGUGGUACACAUCCUCAGGUACUUUCCCACAUAAUUGUCUUAACAACCUGUGAGGUAUUAUCAGAGGUAUUCAAAACAGAGCAACUCCAUCUUGAAUAGGGGCUGAGUAAAAUAAGGCUGAGACCUACUGGGGUGCAUUCCCAGGAGGUUAAGGCAUUCUUAGUCACAGAAGGACAUAGAAGUUCAGCACAAGAUACAGGUCACAAAGACCUUGCUGAUAAAAUGGGAUGCACUAAAGAAGCCAGCCAGUCCGGAUGCAGUGGCUCACACCUCUAAUCCCAGUACUUUGGGAGGCCAAGGCGGGUGGAUCACCUGAGGUCAGGAGUUUGAGAUCAGCCUGGCCAACAUGGUGAAACCCCAUCUCUACUAAAAAUACAAAAAUUAGCUGGGCAUGGUGGUGCACACCUGUAAUCCCAGGUACUCGGGAGGCUGAGGCAGGAGAAUCGCUUGAACUCAGAAGGCAGAGGUUGCAGUGGGAAAAUCGCGCCAUUACACUCCAGCCUGGGUGACAAGAGUGAAACUUCGUCUCAAAAAAAAAACAGAAGCCAGCCAAAACCAACCAAAACCAAGAUAGCAAUGAGAGUGACCUCUGGUCAUCCUCACUGCUCAUACACUAAUUGUAAUGCAUUAGCUGCUAAAAGACACCCCCACCAGCCCCAUGGCAGUUACAAAUGCCAUGGCCAUGUAGGAAGUUACCCUGUAUGGUCUAAAAUGGGGAGGAAUCCUCAGUUUUGGGAAUUCCCCACCCCUUUCCCAGAAAACUCAUGAAUAAAUGAAUAAUCCACCCCUAGUUUAGCAUAUAAUCAAGAAAUAACCAUAAAAAUGGUCAACCAGGCCGGGCGCGGUGGCUCACGCCUGUAAUCCCAGCACUUUGGGAGGCCGAAGCGGGCGGAUCACAAGGUCAGGAGAUCGAGACCAUCCUGGCUAACACGGUGAAACCCCAUCUCUACUAAAAAUACAAAAAAAUUAGCCGGGCGUGGUGGCAGGUGCCUGUAGUCCCAGCUACUUGGGAGGCUGAGGCGGGAGAAUGGUGUGAACCCGGGAGGCAGAGUUUGCAGUGAGCCAAGAUUGCACCACUGCACUCCAGCCUGGGCGACAGAGCGAGACUCCAUCUCAAAAAAAAAAAAAAAAAAAGGGUCAACCAGCAGCCCAAGCCUAGGGAGUAGCCAUUCUUUAUUCCUUUGCUUUCUUAAUAAACUGGUUUUUUGUUUGUUUGUUUGUUUUGUUUUGUUUUGAGACAGAGUUUCACUCUUGUCGCCCAGGCUGGAGUGCAAUGGCAUGAUCUCAGCUCAAUGCAACCUCCAUCCCCCCAUGUUCAAGCAAUUCUCCUGCCUUAGCCUCCUGAGUAGCUGGGGUUACAGGUGCACGCCACCACACCUGGCUAAUUUUUUUUUGUAUUUUUAGUACAGACGGAGUUUCACCAUGUUGAUCAGGUUGGUUUUAAACUCC